AGUCUUAGUCUUAGUGAACCGGUUCUUCUUCUGUAAACAUUUGAAAGCCUCGCUUCAUUAUUCAAACUCAGAAAUGCCAACAAAAGGUUAUAUGUUUGGAAAGAAAAAACGUUACUGUAAGACAAGAGGAAGACAUGCUUCAAAGACAAAUGUAUAAUUACAAAGCUCUGUUUUGGAUACAGAUGGAUCUGAAGCAGCAACAACGCAGCCUGCAAGUGCAGCUGAACGAAAAAUAAUUCUAACUACAAUUACUAACGCUGAUAACACCAAUAAGAGGCUGCCUGAAGAUUUCAUAUACGUCAUGAUGAAUUCAAUGGAAUUGACCACAAUGGUCGCCUUGUUGUGCUGUCCAAAUUGCUUCGACAAAAAAUUAACCAUGUGCAUCACACAAUCAAAAGGCAUGGCUCAUUUGAUUAAAAUCAAAUGCCUAAAUUGUGAAACAUAUUUGUGGCCUGACUGGACCUAAAAAAAAAAGUAAUAAUGUUCAUCUGGAUAUUAAUGUCCGCGCUGUCGCUGCAUUAAAAGAAUCUGGAAUCUCGCAUUCUAAAUUUGAUAGGUUUUGUGGACUUAUGAGUAUGCCCUGCAUGCACAGAAAUACUUAUAACAAUCUAGCUAACAUAGUCAACACUGCUAUAAUUGAAGCUGGUGAAGAAUGUAUGAUUAGGGCAUCUGCUGUUGUGCAUGGAAGAAACAUUUCACAACCUCUGACUACAUAUGAUAGAAUAAGUUCAACAGGCUGUCCUGUUAUUACAGUUUCUUUCGAAUGGACUUGGCAUAAAAGGGGCCACUCAUCUCAUUCAGGAAUUGGCACAGUUAUUGAUUUUGAUACUGGACUCGUCAUCGACACUGAAGUCCUAUCAAAUUAUUGCUGUGUUUGUGAUUCAAACUCUGCAGAACUAAAUUUUGAUGCCUCUAAGCAUAUGUGUCAAAAAACUUCAGUGGCUCAGCAAAUGCAAUGGAGGCCGCAGCAGCAACCAAAAUUUGUUCUCACUCUGUGGCAUCAGAAAACUUGUUUAUGGCAUGAUGCUGUGUGAUGGCGAUAGUAAAUCACAUUCAUCUGCCAUUACCAACUCAGGAUAUGAUUUAGAAAUCUUAAAAGAGGACUGCAUUAACCACAUCUCAAAAAGAAUGUUUAAUGCUUUGAACAAUUUAAAAAUGUCUAACAAAAAAGAACUAAAUUAUAGGCUUACAAAGCCAAAAAUUGAAAAAAUUACAAAUAACUAUUCCAAAGUUCUGCGCCAAAAUGCUCCUGACAUUCAAAAAAAUGAAGCUGGCUGUUAUGGGCUCAUUUUUUCAUAUGAUGAGCUCAGACCUAGAUCAUAACCACAGGUUGUGUCCUGAUGGCACUACAUCUUGGUGUCACACUUUAAGAGAUCAGAGGCACUAAAACAGCCAUACAAAAAACAUAAUCAGACCAUCACAUCAGAAAUAGGAAAACUGUUAUUUCCUAUAACAGACACAGAUCUGUUAAAAACAUGUUCAAGAAUGGGAACACAAAACGCCAAUGAAUCUUUUCAUUCCCUCAUUGGGCAAAUUGCCCCAAAACAGAAUUCGCAACAUUAAAAACUAAGGACGGCGACAUACCUUGCUGUUUUAGCCUUCAAUAAUGGCAUUAAAUCAGUUUUUGACAUAUUAGGCGUUCCCUGGACACUAAAGAACAUUUCUUCUAGUGAGAAAAAGCAAAAUGUCAAACUACAGCUUGUUGUUAGAAAAAGAUCAAUCACAUUAGUGUCCAGGAGAAAAAAAUUGAAAAAGCAAAGAAUUGAGCAUGAGCACCGGGCAGAGGUUCUAGAAGGUCCAACCUAUCAAUCAGGCCAUUUUAAUGAAUAGUUUUUUUUAUUAUCUAUUAUGUUAUAUUAUGUAAAUAUUCCCUUUUUUUUUAUUUUUAUGGUUGCAAUAAAUAUUUUAUAUCAUUUUAAAAACUUUAAA